rnacentral:Y_RNA from 1 species
AACAGGUCUGAAGGUAGUGAGUUAUCUCACUCGAUUGUUCAGUCAGUUCCAGAUUGAACUCCUUGUUCUACGCUUUGCCCUCUUCUCACUGCUGCACUUGACUAAUCUUUA